rnacentral:rRNA from 1 species
UACGGGGGGGGCAAGCGUUGUUCGGAAUUACUGGGCGUAAAGGGCGCGUAGGCGGCCUGCUAAGUCGGACGUGAAAUCCCUCGGCUCAACCGGGGAACUGCGUCCGAUACUGGCGAGGCUUGAAUCCGGGAGAGGGAUGUGGAAUUCCAGGUGUAGCGGUGAAAUGCGUAGAUAUCUGGAGGAACACCGGUGGCGAAGGCGACAUCCUGGACCGGUAUUGACGCUGAGGCGCGAAAGCCAGGGGAGCAAACGGG